GACGAACGCUGGCGGCAUGCCUAAUACAUGCAAGUCGAGCGGACAGAAGGGAGCUUGCUCCCGAAAGUCAGCGGCGGACGGGUGAGUAACACGUGGGCAACCUGCCCCUUAGAUUGGGAUAACUUCGGGAAACCGAAGCUAAUACCGAAUAAUACAAGGAACCUCCUGGUUCUCUGUUGAAAGAUGGCCUUUGUGCUGUCACUAAGGGAUGGGCCCGCGGCGCAUUAGCUAGUUGGUAAGGUAACGGAUUAACAAGGCGACGAUGCGUAGCCGACCGGGAAGGGUGGUCGGCCACACUGGGACUGAGACCCGGCCCAGACUACUACGGGAGGCAGCAGUAGGGAAUCUUCCGCAAUGGACGGAAGUCUGCCGGAGCAAUGCCGCGUGGGUGAGGAAGGCCUUCGGGUCGGAAAGCUCUGUUGUGAGUGAAGAACAAGUACCGGCGUAACUACCGGUACCGUGACGGUACCUCACCAGAAAGCCACGGCUAACUACGUGCCAGCCGCCGCAGUAA
rnacentral:rRNA from 1 species